AAAGUUUAGCAACUCCUUUCAGUUGCAACUACGUUCUGCAGCAAGAAGGUGAACAUUUAACAAAGACACGAGAAAAGUUAGCAGAUUUUAGCACGAAAUGAGACGAGUUUUAGUUCUCGUGGUAUUCAUUGCAGUCUUAGCCAUGCUUUGGCGAAGUGCUGAUGGUGAAAAAGAAGAUGGAUUGCUGUCGGGUAUAAAGGAUAAUCUUGCGAAAAGAAGCUUAUCAGAUAUAACGCAGGCAGUAGCGGAGCGCGUUAAACGUGCCUUGAGGGUGAAACGAUGGUGGUGGUGUGGGAAAAAAAGGCGAAAGCUCAAAGGUUGCCCUAAGAAAAAAAAGCGAAACUGAUCCAGUUGAUGUCAGCGUUCAGCACUGAAGAAGACGGUAUCGAUAUGAAACUGCAGAUUGAACAAUCUUACACAUGGUGUCGCUGAAGAAACUUUAAGAAUUGACAAGACAAACACAAAUGAUGUUCAAGACGAAAACGUAGUGCUAGAAGCCAUAACUUAACCUUGAAGUAUUUAUAUUGUUGGAGUAUAUUUAUUUUUGUUUAACUUAUGAGUUUAUUUGUAUGUAUGCGUGUGUAAUAAAAUAAGCUAUAAGCUAUUUAUUGGCUAAGACAGAAUAAACAAGAUAUUUUAUAUCA